rnacentral:rRNA from 1 species
AGUGAACGCUGGCGGUAGGCCUAACACAUGCAAGUCGAACGGCAGCACAGGAGAGCUUGCUCUCUGGGUGGCGAGUGGCGGACGGGUGAGGAAUACAUCGGAAUCUACUUUUUCGUGGGGGAUAACGUAGGGAAACUUACGCUAAUACCGCAUACGACCUACGGGUGAAAGCAGGGGAUCUUCGGACCUUGCGCGAUUGAACGAGCCGAUGUCGGAUUAGCUAGUUGGCGGGGUAAAGGCCCACCAAGGCGACGAUCCGUAGCUGGUCUGAGAGGAUGAUCAGCCACACUGGAACUGAGACACGGUCCAGACUCCUACGGGAGGCAGCAGUGGGGAAUAUUGGACAAUGGGCGCAAGCCUGAUCCAGCCAUACCGCGUGGGUGAAGAAGGCCUUCGGGUUGUAGAGCCCUUUUGUUGGGAAAGAAAUCCAGCUGGUUAAUACCCGGUUGGGAUGACGGUACCCAAAGAAUAAGCACCGGCUAACUUCGUGCCAGCAGCCGCCGCAG